rnacentral:rRNA from 1 species
CCUACGGGAGGCAGCAGUCGAGAAUUAUUCACAAUGGGGGAAACCCUGAUGGUGCGACGCCGCGUGGGGGAAUGAAGGUCUUCGGAUUGUAAACCCCUGUCAUGUGGGAGCAAAUUAAAAAGAUAGUACCACAAGAGGAAGAGACGGCUAACUCUGUGCCAGCAGCCGCGGUAAUACAGAGGUCUCAAGCGUUGUUCGGAAUCACUGGGCGUAAAGCGUGCGUAGGCUGUUUCGUAAGUCGUGUGUGAAAGGCGCGGGCUCAACCCGCGGACGGCACAUGAUACUGCGAGACUAGAGUAAGGGAGGGGGAACCGGAAUUCUCGGUGUAGCAGUGAAAUGCGUAGAUAUCGAGAGGAACACUCGUGGCGAAGGCGGGUUCCUGGACAUUAACUGACGCUGAGGCACGAAGGCCAGGGGAGCGAAAGGGAUUAGAUACCCGAGUAGUC